rnacentral:rRNA from 1 species
GGAUUAGAUACCCUGGUAGUCCACGCCGUAAACGAUGGUCACUCGCUGUUGGCGACACAAUGUCAGUGGCUGAGCGAAAGCAUUAAGUGACCCACCUGGGGAGUACGUUCGCAAGAAUGAAACUCAAAGGAAUUGACGGGGGCCCGCACAAGCGGUGGAGCAUGUGGUUUAAUUCGAUGAUACGCGAGGAACCUUACCAGGGCUUAAAUGCAAAACGACCGGGGUGGAAACACCCCUUUCUUCGGACGGAUUGCAAGGUGCUGCAUGGUUGUCGUCAGCUCGUGCCG